rnacentral:rRNA from 1 species
AGUGAACGCUGGCGGUAGGCCUAACACAUGCAAGUCGAACGGCAGCACAGUAAGAGCUUGCUCUUACGGGUGGCGAGUGGCGGACGGGUGAGGAAUACAUCGGAAUCUACUUUUUCGUGGGGGAUAACGUAGGGAAACUUACGCUAAUACCGCAUACGACCUACGGGUGAAAGCAGGGGAUCUUCGGACCUUGCGCGAUUGAAUGAGCCGAUGUCGGAUUAGCUAGUUGGCGGGGUAAAGGCCCACCAACGCGACGAUCCGUAGCUGGUCUGAGAGGAUGAUCAGCGAAACUGGAACUGAGACACGGUCCAGACUCCUACGGGAGGCAGCAGUGGGGAAUAUUGGACAAUGGGCGCAAGCCUGAUCCAGCCAUACCGCGUGGGUGAAGAAGGCCUUCGGGUUGUAAAGCCCUUUUGUUGGGAAAGAAAAGCAGCAGGUUAAUACCCCGCUGUUCUGACGGUACCCAAAGAAUAAGCACCGGCUAACUUCGUG